rnacentral:lncRNA from 1 species
GGGCCCAAAGAUUUCGUUUAUUGAAAUGUAAGCAAAAUGCCGAACAAAGAUAAUAAAUAAAGAACUCGUCGUCUAAGAGACAAACUCGUCGCUGAAUAGUUUCUCUUUAUAUUCUCUCUCUAGUUUCUCCCGGUACUUUUGUGUGUCUUUCUUCAUUGAAUGCUCUUCUAUUUAUAUUCUCCUCGAUCCGCGUUUGGUGCUUUGUGGUUGUUGUGUGUCAGAGAGUCGGUUCGGCGAUCAUCAUUAGCCAUGUUCGUUUUAUAAACUCUGCGACAAGCGUCUGCGUCAAAAAAAUACAGUUAGGGCAGAAGCAAAUUCUUUGGUGUUCUAACUAAAAGCAGCCGCAACUGACAAUUGGAGGCAUGGAAACGGAGUUGCUGCUGCCGCUGCAAUUUUCAGCGUCGUAU